rnacentral:sRNA from 2 species
CACUGAGGAACGCAGACUAAAUGGCAACGUCUGCAUGACCCCCAUCCUGGGGG